rnacentral:tRNA from 1 species
GCCCCACUGGCGCAAUGGUAGCGCGUUAGACUUCUAUGGAGGGUAUAUCUAAAGGUUACGGGUUCGAGCCCCGUGUGGGGUU